rnacentral:rRNA from 1 species
UACGUAGGGUGCAAGCGUUAAUCGGAAUUACUGGGCGUAAAGCGUGCGCAGGCGGUUUUUGUAAGUCUGACGUGAAAAGCCCCCGGGCUUAACCUGGGAAUUGCGUUGGAGACUGCAAGGCUUGAAUCUGGCAGAGGGGGGUAGAAUUCCACGUGUAGCAGUGAAAUGCGUAGAGAUGUGGAGGAACACCGAUGGCGAAGGCAGCCCCCUGGGUCAGGAUUGACGCUCAUGCACGAAAGCGUGGGGAGCAAACAGG